GGACAUGUGGCUCAGUUGGUAGAGCAUGGUGUUUGCAACGCCAGGGUUAUGGGUUCGAUUCCCACGGCGGCCA
rnacentral:tRNA from 1 species